rnacentral:lncRNA from 1 species
GAAUAAAAUAUUUACUGCCAUUUCCCUUCUAGCCUAUUCUGUUUUUUGAAAAGACACAUGGAAACAGCUUCUCUAAUACAAAUGUAUUUGCUUUAGGUUUUCCCUCCCCCUCAUCCUUUCUACCAAAAGAACUGGAGAGCUGUGGUCAAUGGCAUCACUGAAGGACGCACAGGCUGAGAGACAGUUAACUGAACACAGCGAGUGGAAAACUCCAGCCUGGAUUACCAAGCGCUUGCAAAGCAAAGCUUCUUUACGUUGUUAAUGCUGAUUUGGAUCAUAAACAAAAGUGAGUGUGACAAGUCCUCCAAGAAGAACUUCUGGAUCAUGGUGAGCUGGUGUCAUCUGGGAGCUGUGACUCCUGCAGGCUCCAGGGGUGACCAGCCGUUCAGCUGCAAGAGAACAUGUCAGAAUCCAGCAGAGACACCCAGGUUAGUUACAGAGGAAAGGAGAGAUCUGUUAUGGAGGAAAUCAUAGCUCUCUGGAAAUUGGUGACAUAGCAGUAAAGGGGAUUUAGAUGGUCCGAAAAUGAGCCCCUGAGUACCAAAUCUCUCUCUGACUCUCCUAAUAUCCCCACCAUUCUUUUGUGGAC